UUUACUCACAAAAACCAUUUUGUUGAAUCCGCAUUCAGCCAUACUUUAUGCCACCAGAGCUAGUGUGUUUAUGAAGAUGAAGAAACCAAAUGCUGCUAUUCGUGAUGCUGACACUGCCUUGAAGAUUAAUCCAGACUCAGCGAAAGGAUAUAAAAUACGGGGAUUGUCAAGGGCUAUGUUUGGGACUCUAGAGAGAAUCACU